GCCAACAUGGUGUAGUGGUUUUAGCGUUAGAUUACUACUCUGGAGAACAGGGUUCGAAUCUCUGCCAAGCCA